GUUGUAAGGUUAAGUGAAUAAGCGUACACGGUGGAUGCCUAGGCAGUCAGAGGCGUGAAGGGCGUGCUAAUCUGCGAAAAGCGUCGGCAAGCUGAUAUGAAGCGUUAUAAUCGACGAUACCCGAAUGGGGAAAACCAGUGCAAUUCGUUGCACUAUCAUGUCAUGAAUACAUAGUGGCAUGAGGCGAACCGGAGGAACUGAAGCAUCUCAGUACACCGAGGAAAGAAAUCAACCGAGAUCCCCCAGUAGUAGCGAGCGAACGGGGAAGAGCUCAGAGUCUGAAUCAGCUUGUGUGUCAGUGGAAGCGUCUGGAAAGUCGCACAGUAAAGGGUGAUAGUACCGUACACGAAGACGCACAGGUUGUGAGCUCGAUGAGUAGGGCGGGACACGUGUAAUCCUGUCUGAAUAUGGGGACCAUCCUCCAAAGCUAAAUACUCCUGACUUACCGAUAGUGAACCAGUACCGUGAGGGAAAGGCGAAAAGAACCCCGGCGUGGGGAGUGAAACAGAACCUAAAACCGUGUACGUACAAGCAGUAGGAGCAUCCUUCGGGGUGUGACUGCGUACCUUUUGUAUAAUGGGUCAGCGACUUAUAUUCUGUAGCAAGGUUAACCGCAUAGGGAGCCGCAGGGAAACCGAGUCUUAACUGGGCGUUAAGUUGCAGGGUAUAGACCCGGAACCCCGUGAUCUAGCCAUGGGCAGGUUUAAGGUUGGGUAACACUAACUGGAGGACCGAACCGACUAAUGUUGAAAAAUUAGCGGAUGACUUGUGGCUGGGGUUUGAAAGGCCAAUUAAACUGGGAGAUAGCUGGUUCUCCCCGAAAGCUAUUUAGGUAGUGCCUCGUGAAUUCAUCUUCGGGGUAGAGCACUGUUUCGGCUAGGGGUCAUCCCGACUUACCAACCCGAUGCAAACUAUGAAUACCGAAGAAUAUUAUCACGGGAGACACACGGCGGGUGCUAACGUUCGUCGUGAAGAGGGAAACAACCCAGACCGCCAGCUAAGGUCCCAAAGUCAUGGUUAAGUGGGAAACGAUGUGGGAAGGCAUAGACAGCCAGGAUGUUGGCUUAGAAGCAGCCAUCAUUUAAAGAAAGCGUAAUAGCUCACUGGUC
rnacentral:rRNA from 1 species